GAGUUUGAUCAUGGCUCAGAUUGAACGCUGGCGGCAUGCCUUACACAUGCAAGUCGAACGGCAGCACGGGUGCUUGCACCUGGUGGCGAGUGGCGAACGGGUGAGUAAUACAUCGGAACAUGUCCUGUAGUGGGGGAUAGCCCGGCGAAAGCCGGAUUAAUACCGCAUACGAUCUACGGAUGAAAGCGGGGGACCUUCGGGCCUCGCGCUAUAGGGUUGGCCGAUGGCUGAUUAGCUAGUUGGUGGGGUAAGGGCCUACCAGGGCGACGAUCAGUAGCUGGUCUGAGAGGACGACCAGCCACACUGGGACUGAGACACGGCCCAGACUCCUACGGGAGGCAGCAGUGGGGAAUUUUGGACAAUGGGCGAAAGCCUGAUCCAGCAAUGCCGCGUGUGUGAAGAAGGCCUUCGGGUUGUAAAGCACUUUUGUCCGGAAAGAAAUCCUUGGCUCUAAUACAGUCGGGGGAUGACGGUACCGGAAGAAUAAGCACCGGCUAACUACGUGCCAGCAGCCGCGGUAAUACGUAGGGUGCGAGCGUUAAUCGGAAUUACUGGGCGUAAAGCGUGCGCAGGCGGUUUGCUAAGACCGAUGUGAAAUCCCCGGGCUCAACCUGGGAACUGCAUUGGUGACUGGCAGGCUAGAGUAUGGCAGAGGGGGGUAGAAUUCCACGUGUAGCAGUGAAAUGCGUAGAGAUGUGGAGGAAUACCGAUGGCGAAGGCAGCCCCCUGGGCCAAUACUGACGCUCAUGCACGAAAGCGUGGGGAGCAAACAGGAUUAGAUACCCUGGUAGUCCACGCCCUAAACGAUGUCAACUAGUUGUUGGGGAUUCAUUUCCUUAGUAACGUAGCUAACGCGUGAAGUUGACCGCCUGGGGAGUACGGUCGCAAGAUUAAAACUCAAAGGAAUUGACGGGGACCCGCACAAGCGGUGGAUGAUGUGGAUUAAUUCGAUGCAACGCGAAAAACCUUACCUACCCUUGACAUGGUCGGAAUCCCGCUGAGAGGUGGGAGUGCUCGAAAGAGAACCGGCGCACAGGUGCUGCAUGGCUGUCGUCAGCUCGUGUCGUGAGAUGUUGGGUUAAGUCCCGCAACGAGCGCAACCCUUGUCCUUAGUUGCUACGCAAGAGCACUCUAAGGAGACUGCCGGUGACAAACCGGAGGAAGGUGGGGAUGACGUCAAGUCCUCAUGGCCCUUAUGGGUAGGGCUUCACACGUCAUACAAUGGUCGGAACAGAGGGUUGCCAACCCGCGAGGGGGAGCUAAUCCCAGAAAACCGAUCGUAGUCCGGAUUGCACUCUGCAACUCGAGUGCAUGAAGCUGGAAUCGCUAGUAAUCGCGGAUCAGCAUGCCGCGGUGAAUACGU
rnacentral:rRNA from 1 species